UUGUAUUUUUGCUUUUUAUAUACAAUACUCUGCCUCUUUCUCUUUCUCGCCCUUAAAUCCAAGCGCUAAUAGCUGGUGAAAAACGGGAUCAAUGUAUUCAUACAUAAAUGGGUAACAGCAAGCUUAGGCUCAACAAAUUGCUGCGUAUUAACUGCCACAAACAUCUGCGAACAAAUUCAUAACUAUCAUUAGGAUUAAUCUUGAGGCACCCAAAAGGAAGCCAUAAGCUGUGGCCACUCGAAUAUCUUAACCGGAUUCGCAUGGCCAAUUUUAUUUUGAUUUUGUACGUGUUGGUGGCUUAAGUCGGGCCUCAAUAGGAAAACAAAGGCCCCAAAGAACAUUGGCCUAAGUGACAGAAACGCAUCGGUGAAUUAGCGUGAAUUGGCCAGUUUAAAUGGCCCUUUGAAAUUGAUUCGACCAACACCAAAUCAAAUUACACAAUUAAUAGGUUCGGCAUCAAAGACAACAACAAAAAACUCGGCACAUAAUAACCGCAACGUUUAAGGCCAAAAUAUGCAAUUAGGGCCAGAAAAGGAGCUGGAGAAUGGAGAAACUUGCGUGUGUGCGCGUGAGAAAACGUCUCAAAAACCCUGCCCCGAAGUUUAAAACUUAAUCAGGCGAGAAUAAUGCAGGCAAUGAUGAGGCAGCGGAAUGCGAUAAAAAAAAAACACGUAAACUGGCAAUGUAUCAACAGACAUAAUGAAAUGCCAGUGGUCAGAAAUAACAAGCCCAAAGCGAAAGGACUCCAGAAAAGGAUGUCAGUAAAGCCGAGUCGCCGCUGCGACUGUGAAAUGCAAUAUUCCAGCGCCAAAGGCUAUGGAUAGUACAGGGAAAUGGGUUAAAAGACAAGUUGUUUCUCUCUCGAAUGAUCCCGAACUAUUGUACUUAAAAAAAAACUUUGUCAAACUUAAUUGUUAUACAACACUGACAAUUAUUUGGCUGCCAUUUGCUUUAGUCAUUUAUCGAUUACAUAUCAGGUUUUUAAAUUUUAUUGGAUGGCCAAAUUCUAUUGAGCUUACUGGCUUUGAAACCCUGUCAGACUAGCUAGCAUCAGCCUUUAGAUAUUUAUCGAUUACUUUUUUUAUACUUCCAACAAAAUUAAUUUCAAUCUUUGAUAGAUAAUUGCUAUUAAAAAGUCCAACUAAAAGCCAAA